rnacentral:tRNA from 1 species
AUCUUUCUAGUACUAACUAGUACAAGUGACUUCCAAUUAUUAAGUCUUGGUUAAAAUCCAAGGAAAGAUA